GCCUGGCUGGCUCAUUUGGUGGAGUGUGUGACUCUCAAUCUCAAGGUCAUGAGUUCAAGUCUCAUGUUGGGCA